UGAUUCUGUUUUCUUAAGCUAUUUGGCUAGUAGGCCUUAACUGGUCAGCUGUUUUUUGAUAAGAUCCUUGGUGUAAUUCAUAAACUGCUGCUAAUUAUAAUAGAUGUAAUUUAUCGAAGCUACAUUUUUAUUAAUAGUUAUUCGGGGAAAUAUGGGUUUAAAUCUUGCAGUUAUUUGGUCUCAGGUUUUGAACUUGUUAGGCACUCCCCAUGGGACUCUAAUGGCCUUUAUGUAAACUUGAGAGUCAAAAGACUUAUAAGGGGCUUCUCUUAUUUUUUGGUGUUGUGGCUUUUCUUUUUUUUUGGUUGAUGAAAUGCCAGUGUGAAAGGGAUCGCCAAUUGGACAAGAGCGCAAGUGCCGCUCCAGUUACUUGGCAGAGUAUCCAGUAAAGGUCCACUACAAUACCACCAUACAUCUGCUUGAGGAUGACUAAGGGCAGACUGAUGGGGUCUUGUCCUGUUGCCCACCCUGGAGUGCAGUGGUAUCAUCAUAGCUUACCACAGCCUUUAACUCCUGGGGGCUCAAGUGAUCCUCAUGUCCCUCAUGUCUCAGCCUCCUGAGUAGCUGGGACUACGGAUGCAUACCACAAUGCCCAGCUAAUUUUUUGCUGUUGUUGAUAUGUGGUCUUGUUAUGUUGCGCAGGCUGUUGUUGAACUGCUGGCCUCAAGCUAUCCUCCUAUCUCCAUGUCUCAAAGGACUGGGAUUACAGGAGUGAGCCCUCAGCCUUGAUCACAUUUAAAUAUAUAUUUUUAGAUAAAAUAUUGUAUGAAUAAAUGAACUUGAUCCUGGA
rnacentral:lncRNA from 10 species